GACGAACGCUGGCGGCGUGCUUAACACAUGCAAGUCGAACGGAAAGGCCCUGCUUUUGUGGGGUGCUCGAGUGGCGAACGGGUGAGUAACACGUGAGUAACCUGCCCUUGACUUUGGGAUAACUUCAGGAAACUGGGGCUAAUACCGGAUAGGAGCUCCUGCUGCAUGGUGGGGGUUGGAAAGUUUCGGCGGUUGGGGAUGGACUCGCGGCUUAUCAGCUUGUUGGUGGGGUAGUGGCUUACCAAGGCUUUGACGGGUAGCCGGCCUGAGAGGGUGACCGGCCACAUUGGGACUGAGAUACGGCCCAGGCUCCUACGGGAGGCAGCAGUGGGGAAUAUUGCACAAUGGGCGGAAGCCUGAUGCAGCAACGCCGCGUGCGGGAUGACGGCCUUCGGGUUGUAAACCUCUUUCGCCUGUGACGAAGCGUGAGUGACGGUAAUGGGUAAAGAAGCACCGGCUAACUACGUG
rnacentral:rRNA from 1 species